rnacentral:rRNA from 1 species
UGGGGAAUAUUGGACAAUGGGCGCAAGCCUGAUCCAGCCAUGCCGCGUGAGUGACGAAGGCCUUAGGGUUGUAAAGCUCUUUUGGCGGGGAAGAUAAUGACGGUACCCGCAGAAUAAGCUCCGGCUAACUUCGUGCCAGCAGCCGCGGUAAUACGAAGGGAGCUAGCGUUGUUCGGAAUCACUGGGCGUAAAGCGCACGUAGGUGGGCAGUUAAGUCAGGGGUGAAAGCCCGAGGCUCAACCUCGGAAUUGCCUCUGAUACUGGCUGUCUAGAGUUCGAGAGAGGUGAGUGGAAUUCCUAGUGUAGAGGUGAAAUUCGUAGAUAUUAGGAAGAACACCGGUGGCGAAGGCGGCUCACUGGCUCGAUACUGACGCUGAGGCGCGAAAGCCAGGGGAGCAAACGGGAUUAGAUACCCGCGUAGUCCCUGAGCGGGCUGGCAAGGCGCAU